ACCUUAGUAACGGCGAGUGAAGCGGUAAAAGCUCAAAUUUGAAAUCUGGUACUUUCAGUGCCCGAGUUGUAAUUUGUAGAAUUUGUCUUUGAUUAGGUCCUUGUCUAUGUUCCUUGGAACAGGACGUCAUAGAGGGUGAGAAUCCCGUUUGGCGAGGAUACCUUUUCUCUGUAAGACUUUUUCGAAGAGUCGAGUUGUUUGGGAAUGCAGCUCAAAGUGGGUGGUAAAUUCCAUCUAAAGCUAAAUAUUGGCGAGAGACCGAUAGCGAACAAGUACAGUGAUGGAAAGAUGAAAAGAACUUUGAAAAGAGAGUGAAAAAGUACGUGAAAUUGUUGAAAGGGAAGGGCAUUUGAUCAGACAUGGUGUUUUUUGCAUGCACUCGCCUCUCGUGGGCUUGGGCCUCUCAAAAAUUUCACUGGGCCAACAUCAAUUCUGGCAGCAGGAUAAAUCAUUAAGAAUGUAGCUACUCUGUAGUGUUAUAGCUUUUUGGAAUACUGUUAGCCGGGAUUGAGGACUGCGCUUCGGCAAGGAUGUUGGCAUAAUGGUUAAAUGCCGCCCGUCUUGAAACACGGACCAAGGAGUCUAACGUCUAUGCGAGUGUUUGGGUGUAAAACCCGUACGCGUAAUGAAAGUGAACGUAGGU
rnacentral:rRNA from 1 species